rnacentral:lncRNA from 1 species
CAACAGGCAGCUGCUUUGCACAUGAAGAACUUGCAUUUUGCAAGUUGCAGUGUUCUCCCUGCAGAAGAUAUCAAGCUGAUGUAUUAGUGUCUCCCACUCUUUACUCCAAUUUUCUUAUCAGGCAACCAUCAGGUCUAUCAUUGUUUCUUCAUUUGGAGACAGAACUGGUCACUCCACGGAAAAUAACUCUCAGGCCAUCAAUGCGGUGAUGCCACAAUUUCUUUCCGAGAGGCGGGCAUGUUAUCAGUGAAGCCCUGGAGAACAGAGACGUAAAAGACAGCGCUUUGAACUGAAAUGAUGUGCGGUGUAAUCGGAGGCUGGCUGGUGGGUAGUGUGGGGUCCGCAUGAAAGACUCCCCCCAGGAUACUCAGCUUUUCGAGCUGUUUGUAAAGUGGAUUGUUCCCCAAAGAGAAUGAGGAGUAAAUAUAUCUCAAGUUUAAUGCUCUGUUGAAAAGAAGCAAAGACUGCUUUUUUAAAAUGACUAAAUCUGUGAGGAGAAAAGAUAAGGGAAAGUUAAGGCCUACUAUUCCCUUUUGAUACCUGUUUUUCUGGAUAAAUGUAGUUGAAUACAUUCCUAUUUCAAAAUCUCUCUCCUCCUUUUGUGAAUUCUCCGUGUUGAUCCCCAUAGCCCAGAAGGGUGGAAAGUGGAAGAUUAUUUGUGUAUCAGCGUGGCCAAGAAAGGGCUCUUGUUGCCUUACCAGCAGCACCCCCUUGUGGUGUUUCUAUGAAUUUCAUAAUUCUAACUACAUUAAAAUUUUCAUGGAC